GAUGAAGAACGCAGCGAAAUGCGAUAAGUAAUGUGAAUUGCAGAAUUCAGUGAAUCAUCGAAUCUUUGAACGCACAUUGCGCCCUCUGGUAUUCCGGGGGGCAUGCCUGUUCGAGCGUCAUUAUAACCACUCAAGCUCUCGCUUGGUAUUGGGGUUCGCGGUUCCGCGGCCCCUAAAAUCAGUGGCGGUGCCUGUCGGCUCUACGCGUAGUAAUACUCCUCGCGAUUGAGUCCGGUAGGUCUACUUGCCAGCAACCCCCAAUUUUUACAGGUUGACCUCGGAUCAGGUAGGGAUACCCGCUGAAAUUAAGCAUAUCAAUAAGCGGAGGA
rnacentral:misc_RNA from 1 species